UCUGGUCUUGGGACACUGUCAGGUGGGCAGUUUGACUGGGGCGGUCGCCUCCCAAAAGGUAACGGAGGCGCUCAAAGGUUCUCUCAGUACGGUCGGAAAUCGUACGUAGAGUGUAAAGGCAAAAGAGAGCUGGAUUGCAAGACAUACAGGUCGAGCAAGGAUGAAAAUCGGACUUAGUGAUCCGGUGGUUCGGCGUGGAAGGGCCAUCGCUCAACGGAUAAAAGCUACCCUGGGGAUAACAGGCUUAUCUCCCCCAAGAGUCCACAUCGACGGGGAGGUUUGGCACCUCGAUGUCGGCUCAUCACAUCCUGGGGCUGUAGUAGGUCCCAAGGGUUGGGCUGUUCGC
rnacentral:rRNA from 1 species